rnacentral:rRNA from 1 species
UACGUAGGGCGCAAGCGUUGUCCGGAAUUAUUGGGCGUAAAGAGCUCGUAGGCGGUUUGUCGCGUCUGCUGUGAAAACCUCAGGCUCAACCUCGGGCUUGCAGUGGGUACGGGCAGCCUAGAGUGCGGUAGGGGUGACUGGAAUUCCUGGUGUAGCGGUGGAAUGCGCAGAUAUCAGGAGGAACACCGAUGGCGAAGGCAGGUCGCUGGGCCGCAACUGACGCUGAGGAGCGAAAGCAUGGGGAGCGAACAGG